rnacentral:lncRNA from 1 species
AGAAAAGGAGGGAGAGAAGAAGGAAGAAGAGAAGAAGGAAGGAAAGAAGGAAGAAAAAGAGGGAGAGAAGGAGGAAGGCAAAGCAGAGGAGAAGAAAGAGGAGCCAAAAACAGAUGAAAAGGCGGAGGAGAAGAAGGGAGAACCCAAACCUGAAGAGCCGAAGAAGGAAGAACCCAAACCAGAGCCACCGAAACCCAAGCCAUGGGCACCAGACUUCAUUCAGGCCCCCUUCUACACCCUCGCUUACCCGCAUUACUAUCGAUGAUUCAGGCACCGACUAUGAGGACGUUUUGUCGGCAGAAGUAACGUCGAGUACCUGGAGCGUUUAG